CAGUAGCCACGGUAAUACAGAGGGUGCGAGCGUUAAUCGGAUUUACUGGGCGUAAAGCGUGCGUAGGCGGCUUCUUAAGUCGGAUGUGAAAUCCCUGAGCUUAACUUAGGAAUUGCAUUCGAUACUGGGAAGCUAGAGUAUGGGAGAGGAUGGUAGAAUUCCAGGUGUAGCGGUGAAAUGCGUAGAGAUCUGGAGGAAUACCGAUGGCGAAGGCAGCCAUCUGGCCUAAUACUGACGCUAAGGUACGAAAGCAUGGGGAGCAAACAGGAUUAGAUACCCCCGUAGUCCCUGUCUCUUAUAC
rnacentral:rRNA from 1 species